UACGUAGGGUCCGAGCGUUGUCCGGAAUUAUUGGGCGUAAAGGGCUCGUAGGCGGUUGGUCACGUCGGGAGUGAAAACUCAGGGCUCAACCCUGAGCGUGCUUCCGAUACGGGCCGACUAGAGGUAUGCAGGGGAGAACGGAAUUCCUGGUGUAGCGGUGGAAUGCGCAGAUAUCGGGAGGAACACCUAUGGCGAAGGCAGCUCGCUGGGACGUUACUGACGCUGAGACGCGAAAGCGUGGGGAGCAAACAGG
rnacentral:rRNA from 1 species